rnacentral:rRNA from 1 species
GGUUAAGCGAAUAAGCGUACACGGUGGAUGCCUAGGCAAUCAGAGGCGAUGAAGGACGUGCUAAUCUGCGAAAAGCGUCGGUAAGGUGAUAUGAACCGUUACACCCGA